rnacentral:lncRNA from 1 species
GGGAUGAACACAAUCCGUACAUGGGAAGUUUUGACAUAGUUCUUCACGGACAAGAGCUUAACACUGAGCCAGCUGGAAGAAGAAAGAUAGUCCAGUGUCACAAGCAGCACAGUGAAGAGUGGACUGGGAGUUGA